rnacentral:rRNA from 1 species
UACGUAGGAGGCAAGCGUUGUCCGGAAUCACUGGGCGUAAAGCGCGUGUAGGUGGUGCGACAAGUCUGCUGUGAAAGCGCCUGGCUUAACCGGGCGAGGUCGGCGGAAACUGACGUACUGGAGGCCGGUAGAGGGGGGUGGAAUCCCGGUGUAGUGGUGAAAUGCGUAGAGAUCGGGAGGAACACCAGUGGCGAAGGCGGCCCCCUGGGCCGGGCCUGACACUGAGACGCGAAGGCGUGGGGAGCGAACGGG